rnacentral:rRNA from 1 species
GGGGAAUUUUCCGCAAUGGGCGAAAGCCUGACGGAGCAAGACCGCGUGAGGGAUGAAGGCCUUUGGGUUGUAAACCUCUUUUCUCAGGGAAGAAUACAAUGACGGUACCUGAGGAAUAAGCCUCGGCUAACUCCGUGCCAGCAGCCGCGGUAAGACGGAGGAGGCAAGCGCUAUCCGGAAUCACUGGGCGUAAAGCGUCCGCAGGUGGCUUUCCAAGUCUGCCGUCAAAGCCCGAGGCUUAACCUCGGAUCGGCGGUGGAAACUGUAUCGCUAGAGUGCGUCAGGGGUAGGGGGAAUUCCCGGUGUACCGGCAAAAUGUGAAAAUAUCGGGAAGAAACACUUGUGACU